rnacentral:misc_RNA from 1 species
UUUAAUUAAAAGUUGCAAGCAUCUUUAAUUUCUGAUAAGACUUUUUGGUUAGCAGAUACUGGCAUCACUCCCUAUUGGGUUCGCAGUGUUUUUGGUUCACUUGGCCACCAUACCCAUUACAGGAACUGGAAUCAACCCUGCUCGCAGUCUUGGAGCAGCAAUCGUAUACAACGAGGACUGUGCAUGUGGAUCUUCUGGGUACGACCUUUCAUUGGCGCUGCGCUUGCUGCACUAUCCAACCAGAUAGUCAUCAGAGCCAUCCCAUUUAUGUCCAAAGCCUGAGAACCAACUUUCACAAUCUUUUUAUGUUCUGUUUAUUGUAUAGUUAUGUUUUAUGUCUUCUUCCUCCCUCUAUUUUCAAGUUAACAUCUUUAAGAGUUUAAAUGUUAAUUAUGUGUACGAGC